rnacentral:rRNA from 1 species
GACGAACGCUGGCGGCGUGCCUAAUACAUGCAAGUAGAACGAGUUGCGAACGGGUGAGUAAUGCCUGGGAAUUGCCCAGUCGAGGGGGAUAACAGUUGGAAACGACUGCUAAUACCGCAUACGAUUGGAUUGCCCAGGUGGGAUUAGCUAGUUGGUGAGGUAAUGGCUCACCAAGGCGACGAUCCCUAGCUGGUCUGAGAGGAUGAUCAGCCACACUGGAACUGAGACACGGUCCAGACUCCUACGGGAGGCAGCAGUGGGGAAUAUUGCACAAUGGGGGAAACCCUGAUGCAGCCAUGCCGCGUGUGUGAAGAAGGCCUUCGGGUUGUAAAGCACUUUCAGCGAGGAGGCGUUACUCGCAGAAGAAGCACCGGCUAACUCCGUGCCAGCAGCCGCGGUAAUAC